AUGAUGAAGAGGAGGAGGCGGUCACCUGGUGUCCCACACUCUGAUCCUGGAGUCAAAGUGUCCGCUGAUCACCGAGUUCUCAGAACAAACCAGAUCGCUGCAGGAAGACGACACCUCCAGCACCUCCACACCUGGAGGUCCCACACUCUGAUGCUUCGGUCUUCGCUGCCCGUCACCACCUGAUGAAGACAACCACUGAACCUUGCUGCGGUCACCUUCCUCCUGUGACCGGUCAGGGUCAGCUGAGAUGGGGAGACGAACAGAGUCGUCCAGACGCCACAACAAGGCAGACUUAUCGUAGGAGGCCGCGAGGAUCCUGAAGCCCUGAAAACAUGUCCACGGAUAUCAGACGGCAUGUUGAAAUACAUCACAGAAUAACACAGGUAACCUCACC